rnacentral:rRNA from 1 species
GACUAACGCUGGCGGCGCGCCUAACACAUGCAAGUCGAACGGAGCUGAGAGAAGCUUGCUUUUCUUAGCUUAGUGGCGAACGGGUGAGUAACGCGUGAGUAACCUGCCCUGGAGUGGGGGACAACAGUUGGAAACGACUGCUAAUACCGCAUAAGCCCACGAUCCGGCAUCGGAUUGAGGGAAAAGGAUUUAUUCGCUUCAGGAUGGACUCGCGUCCAAUUAGCUAGUUGGUGAGGUAACGGCCCACCAAGGCGACGAUUGGUAGCCGGACUGAGAGGUUGAACGGCCACAUUGGGACUGAGACACGGCCCAGACUCCUACGGGAGGCAGCAGUGGGGGAUAUUGCACAAUGGGGGAAACCCUGAUGCAGCGACGCCGCGUGGAGGAAGAAGGUUUUCGGAUUGUAAACUCCUGUCGUUAGGGACGAUAAUGACGGUACCUAACAAGAAAGCACCGGCUAACUACGUG